AGAGAGUUUAUGAGGACUGGGCUCUAACAGGGGGAGAGAGAGGUUAUGAAGACUGGGCUCUAACAGGGGGAGAGAGAGGUUAUGAAGACUGGGCUCUAACAGGGGGAGACAGAGAGGUUAUGAGGACUGGGCUCUAACAAGGGGAGAGAGAGGUUAUGAGGACUGGGCUCUAACAGGGGGAGAGAGAGGUUAUGAAGACUGGGCUCUAACAGGGGGAGAGAGAGGUUAUGAGGACUGGGCUCUAACAGGGGGAGAGAGAGGUUAUGAAGACUGGGCUCUAACAGGGGGAGACAGAGAGGUUAUGAAGACUGGGCUCUAACAGGGGGAGAGAGAGGUUAUGAGGACUGGCGUCGAACAGGGGGAGAGAGAGGUUAUGAGGACUGGGCUCUAACAGGGGGAGAGAGAGGUUAUGAAGACUGGGCUCUAACAGGGGGAGAGAGAGGUUAUGAGGACUGGCGUCGAACAGGGGGAGAGAGAGGUUAUGAGGACUGGGCUCUAACAGGGGGAGAGAGAGGUUAUGAAGACUGGGCUCUAACAGGGGGAGAGAGAGGUUAUGAGGACUGGGCUCUAACAGGGGGAGAGAGAGGUUAUGAAGACUGGGCUCUAACAGGGGGAGACAGAGAGGUUAUGAAGACUGGGCUCUAACAGGGGGAGAGAGAGGUUAUGAAGACUGGGCUCUAACAGGGGGAGAGAGAGGUUAUGAAGACUGGGCUCUAACAGGGGGAGACAGAGAGGUUAUGAAGACUGGGCUCUAACAGGGGGAGAGAGAGGUUAUGAAGACUGGGCUCUAACAGGGGGAGACAGAGAGGUUAUGAAGACUGGGCUCUAACAGGGGGAGACAGAGAGGUUAUGAAGACUGGGCUCUAACAGGGGGAGAGAGAGGUUAUGAAGACUGGGCUCUAACAGGGGGAGAGAGAGGUUAUGAAGACUGGGCUCUAACAGGGGGAGACAGAGAGGUUAUGAAGACUGGGCUCUAACAGGGGGAGACAGAGAGGUUAUGAAGACUGGGCUCUAACAGGGGGAGAGAGAGGUUAUGAAGACUGGGCUCUAACAGGGGGAGAGAGAGGUUAUGAAGACUGGGCUCUAACAGGGGGAGACAGAGAGGUUAUGAAGACUGGGCUCUAACAGGGGGAGACAGAGAGGUUAUGAAGACUGGGCUCUAACAGGGGGAGAGAGAGGUUAUGAAGACUGGGCUCUAACAGGGGGAGAGAGAGGUUAUGAAGACUGGGCUCUAACAGGGGGAGACAGAGAGGUUAUGAAGACUGGGCUCUAACAGGGGGAGACAGAGAGGUUAUGAAGACUGGGCUCUAACAGGGGGAGACAGAGAGGUUAUGAAGACUGGGCUCUAACAGGGGGAGAGAGAGGUUAUGAAGACUGGGCUCUAACAGGGGGAGACAGAGAGGUUAUGAAGACUGGGCUCUAACAGGGGGAGAGAGAGGUUAUGAAGACUGGGCUCUAACAGGGGGAGAGAGAGGUUAUGAAGACUGGGCUCUAACAGGGGGAGACAGAGAGGUUAUGAAGACUGGGGUCUAACAGGGGGAGAGAGAGGUUAUGAGGACUGGGCUCUAACAGGGGGAGAGAGAGGUUAUGAAGACUGGGCUCUAACAGGGGGAGAGAGAGGUUAUGAAGACUGGCGUCGAACAGGGGGAGAGAGAGGUUAUGAAGACUGGCGUCGAACAGGGGGACAGAGAGGUUAUGAGGACUGGGCUCUAACAGGGGGAGAGAGGUUAUGAAGACUGGGCUCUAACAGGGGGAGAGAGGUUAUGAGGACUGGGCUCUAACAGGGGGAGAGAGAGGUUAUGAAGACUGGGCUCUAACAGGGGGAGAGAGGUUAUGAGGACUGGGGUCUAACAGGGGGAGAGAGGUUAUGAGGACUGGGGUCUAACAGGGGAGAGAGGUUAUGAAGACUGGGCUCUAACAGGGGGAGAGAGAGGUUAUGAAGACUGGGCUCGAACAGGGGGAGAGAGAUGUUAUGAAGACUGAGCUCUUACAGGGGGGGACAGAGAGGU